rnacentral:tRNA from 1 species
GAGGGUAUAGCUCAAGUGGUAGAGCACAUGCUUAGCAUGCAUGAGGUCCUGAGUUCAAUCCCCAGUACCUCCU